UGGGGAAUAUUGCACAAUGGGGGAAACCCUGAUGCAGCGACGCCGCGUGAACGAAGAAGGUAUUCGUAUCGUAAAGUUCUGUCCUAUGGGAAGAUAAUGACAGUACCAUAGAAGAAAGCUCCGGCUAAAUACGUGCCAGCAGCCGCGGUAAUACGUAGGGAACGAGCGUUGUCCGGGAUUAUUGGGCGUAAAGGGUACGCAGGCGGUUUAAUAAGUCGAAUGUUAAAGAUCGGGGCUCAACCCCGCGAAGCAUUGGAAACUGAUAAACUUGAGUAGUGGAGAGGAAAGUGGAAUUCCUAGUGUAGUGGUGAAAUACGUAGAUAUUAGGGGGAAUACCAGUAGCGAAGGCGACUUUCUGGACACAAACUGACGCUGAGGUACGAAAGCGUGGGGAGCAAACAGG
rnacentral:rRNA from 1 species